AGUUCAUCCCACACUACGUUAUCAACAAAGCUCGAUGAAGCCAUACUAUCGCAGUGGAACGACCUGCUAUUUGUAGCGACUAUUAAGUGUUUACACUGCUUAAAGUCUUUUUAAGGCAAUAUGCCAGGUCCCCAUUGUUCAGUGCGGGACUGCCACAACGGUACCCGUGGGCUAAAGACAUGGACGGAAGAGUUUUGCCCUAUUCACGAGGGCAAUAAAGGAACCUCGCGCUGUAUAUGUGACCCGCCUUAUUUACUCGUCACAUUUCCUACUGAAAGAAAAGAUCCAGAACGUCGUGCCGAAUGGAUUAAAUUAGUUUCCCAGAGACUAUGGGUUGAGGAGGAAGUGGAAGUUUGUCAGCUUAGACCUGGUGUCAUUCCAUCAGUGUUUAACUUCCCGGCUCAUCUUGGAAGAGUAUGUGCCAGAAAGACCACAAACAAGCAGCCUUGAGAUGUUAGACAGCGUCUCCCUGAGGUCCCUCUCUAUCUCCCCACAUAUCCACCAACCACUGGAACACAUCUCCAAAGUUCUGCUGGGCCAGCUCAGCUUCCCCUCAGAAGAAGUGCCGCCACCUGCCAGAUGAAGGAGCCUUUUGAGAGGCAGCUGGCAUCGUGAUUGGACUGUACUUUGGUCUGUUCCAAUCCAGCUUCAGCUCCAGAGACGGCAGGCGGGACGAGUCAACGGAGGCCGGAUGGACGAAGACUAAAGAACUACAGACUCUUCACAACCUGCUCAAACUCUUGGUACAGGACCUCACCACACGGGUCAAGAAGGUUUCUGUCUCAUUUCUACUCUGAAGCUCACCUUCUCCUGCUCAAACUGCUGACAAAUGUUUCUGCUGCUCUAAAGUCUGGUCUCCAGAACUUCCUAAAAACUCUCAAAGUCUCUUCUGCUGCAGGUUGCUUUGUAGAACUGUUCCAGAAAACCUCACUAAACCACACGGAGGGGC
ensembl:lncRNA